rnacentral:rRNA from 1 species
UACGUAGGGGGCUAGCGUUGUCCGGAAUCACUGGGCGUAAAGCGUGCGUAGGUGGUGAGUUAAGUCUGUCGUGAAAGCCCCGGGCUCAACCUGGGAAUGGCGAUGGAUACUGGCUCGCUAGAGUGCGGUAGAGGAGAGUGGAAUUCCCGGUGUAGCAGUGAAAUGCGUAGAGAUCGGGAGGAACAUCAGUUGCGAAGGCGGCUCUCUGGACCAGCACUGACACUGAGGCACGAAAGCGUGGGGAGCAAACAGG